CGUCUCGUGGUGUAGGGGUAACGCGCCCUUUCUAGUGAACAGGAAGUCGUGAGUUCGAUUCUCACCGAGAAGA
rnacentral:tRNA from 1 species